rnacentral:rRNA from 1 species
UAGGGAAUCUUCGGCAAUGGGGGGAACCCUGACCGAGCAACGCCGCGUGAGUGAAGAAGGUUUUCGGAUCGUAAAGCUCUGUUGUUAAGGAAGAACGAGUGUGAGAAUGGAAAGUUCAUGCUGUGACGGUACUUAACCAGAAAGGGACGGCUAACUACGUGCCAGCAGCCGCGGUAAUACGUAGGUCCCGAGCGUUGUCCGGAUUUAUUGGGCGUAAAGCGAGCGCAGGCGGUUAGAAAAGUCUGAAGUGAAAGGCAGUGGCUCAACCAUUGUAGGCUUUGGAAACUGUUUUACUUGAGUGCAGAAGGGGAGAGUGGAAUUCCAUGUGUAGCGGUGAAAUGCGUAGAUAUAUGGAGGAACACCGGUGGCGAAAGCGGCUCUCUGGUCUGUAACUGACGCUGAGGCUCGAAAGCGUGGGGAGCGAACAGG